AGAGUUUGAUCCUGGCUCAGAACGAACGCUGGCGGCAUGCCUAACACAUGCAAGUCGAACGAGACCUUCGGGUCUAGUGGCGCACGGGUGCGUAACGCGUGGGAAUCUGCCCUCUGGUACGGAAUAACUCAGGGAAACUUGAGCUAAUACCGUAUAAUGACUUCGGUCCAAAGAUUUAUCGCCUGAGGAUGAGCCCGCGUCGGAUUAGCUAGUUGGUGAGGUAAAAGCUCACCAAGGCGACGAUCCGUAGCUGGUCUGAGAGGAUGAUCAGCCACACUGGGACUGAGACACGGCCCAGACUCCUACGGGAGGCAGCAGUGGGGAAUAUUGGACAAUGGGCGAAAGCCUGAUCCAGCAAUGCCGCGUGAGUGAUGAAGGCCUUAGGGUUGUAAAGCUCUUUUACCCGGGAUGAUAAUGACAGUACCGGGAGAAUAAGCCCCGGCUAACUCCGUGCCAGCAGCCGCGGUAAUAC
rnacentral:rRNA from 1 species